UGGGGAAUAUUGCACAAUGGGCGCAAGCCUGAUGCAGCCAUGCCGCGUGUAUGAAGAAGGGCUUCGGGUUGUAAAGUACUUUCAGUGGGGAGGAAGGGAGUAAAGUUAAUACCUUUGCUGAUGGAGGUUACCCGCAGAAGAAGCACCGGCUAACUCCGUGUCAGCAGCCGCGGUAAUACGGAGGGUGCAAGCGUUAAUCGGAAUUACUGGGCGUAAAGCGCACGCAGGCGGUUUGGUAAGUCAGAUUUGAAAUCCUCGGGCUCAAACUGGGAACUGCAUCUGAUACUGGAAAGCUUGGGUCUCGUAGAGGGGGGUAGAAUUCCAGGUGUAGCGGUGAAAUGCGUAGAGAUCUGGAGGAAUACCGGUGGCGAAGGCGGCCCCCUGGACGAAGACUGACGCUCAGGUGCGAAAGCGUGGGGAGCAAACAGG
rnacentral:rRNA from 1 species